rnacentral:lncRNA from 1 species
GGUGUUGGUUGCAUAUAAGUCCUUUUCCAUGAUCAGUUGAUGGUUAAAUUUGAGCAUUAAGGACCGUCAACAAGCUCCCCCAAGCUUAACCUUUGCUCGUCCCUGAGUAAAGAUGGACUUAAGAGUUUCUGCAGUGGUUUCAUGCCUUAAAGGUACACAUGCGUUCAAACAAGAUCUCAUCUCUGGGUUAGGGUAAACUGUUAAGAUUUAAACUUACUCAUUUUACCUUCCACCAUGGGGCUUGCAACCAUCAUUUGUGUCUUGAGCAGUUAAAAGACAUAACGGUCUAGUCAAGCGCCAUGUCUCUUGCUCUUCGAUUAACUAUAGCACUGGAGUUUUUUAGAUUUUCAAAUAAAACUCAGAGAUUCCUUGUAUGACUCUCUCUAGUCUCUCUUUUGUGGUAUUUCUGGAUGCUUACCAAGGCAGUGAUGGUAUAUGCCUUCUCUCAAAAUAUGUAGUAUUUGUGGUAUGAAGCAUAGUGACAUUGACUUCUCUCUCAUCCUACUCUAAUAAGGCUUUUGAUAUCUGGAGCUCAUAGGUAGGAGACAGCUAAUACAUACUUACAAGACAUUUAUUGCAUAGUCAAACCAUGGAUCUAGAAGAACAAGUCAAUAAGUCAAAUCAAGAUGUGCAUGUGUGGCGAAUAAAUGGUGUAUGGUGAUGAUGGUGAUAAUAAUGGUGAAAGUCUAAUUCUACUUGUGCUCUUUUGAGGGGAUACAUACCUUUCUUGCUCUUUUGAAACUUUGUGAGGAGAAUAAGACGCUCGGUAAUUUCUUUUUAUUUUCUCUCAGAUGGGUAUCUUGUACCCCUAAUUCUACUGUCGGACACUUGUCCAUUUUUACCUCUCGUCUCACUAUUUUCUUUUCUUUCGAGGUUCCAGGCACUUGCCCCUUUUUAUUUCCUCGUAUCUUUUUUUCUCUCUUUUUUUAGAGCACUCAUCUCUUGAACUAAUGUAGCAAGUGGUAGUAACCAAGAUAACUUGAGCAUUUAUUUCACAUGGGAAAACAGAAAUGUUUUUGACUAUUCUCUCCCGGAUUAGGAGUAGAAUAUUUUUGGGUAGUUCUGGAGAUGGAAAUGGGUGAAUAUAUGUGGAUGCGUACUUCCGGAGUAGAAGCAGUAUAUGUGAGUCAACGUACAAGUGAAUCUUGAUUUUAACCACAUGACAAGCUCCUAAGGGUCUACACAGCUUGACCACACUCAAUGCUCAUAAGCAGUAAAAAGUAAAUGUAUGGUUCAUAGUCUAAUAAGCAUGUAUAUAUGGCUGUGGUAGGAUUUUAAACUCUCAUCAUGCAACAUUUUGAAGAUUUUCAAAGAUAAAAUUCUCUAGAAUUCUAGCAUCUCUAGGAACAGAUAAACAGUAGCUCAACCUUUCCAUAUCGUAUCUGUUAACAACUUAGACUUUAGAUCAAGUACUCUUCCCACAAGUUCAGGUUUAGAGCAAAUCUUAAUUAAUAACAGUCAUGCCUAAACUUGAUAGAGAUUUCAAUUUUGAGAACUAGCCAUGGCAGAACAACUAUUCAUCAUUUCCAUAUGACAGCUUAUCAUGAGGGUUCAUAGCAAAUUUUAUUUAUUUAUUUAGUUAGCAAACUAAGCAAAGAUAUAUAUAUAAGCACAAAACUUUGUGAUUAUGCAUCUUUUUAUUAUUUGAAUAAAGUAUAAACAUGAGUAGAAACACUUAGCUGGAUAAAUGGGGAUGCUCUCCCCCAAGCUGGAUUUUGACGCAAUUUCUUCUGAUGUAGCUAGCAAGUGGUGGAGGUGUAUUUGAAUGUCAGCAGUACCCUGACAGCGAUUAGGAUGUCCUCCGUCUGCUAGUCUUCUUUGAUCCUUGAAUUUUGUGGAGCUCAAAUAGACAACAAAGCUUUGUGGAACUGGUUAAGUGUUAGCAUAAAUAUCUAGCCUUUAUCAUGUUGAGCCUCCUCAAUAAAUGUUACUCUCUUUAGUAGGAUCAUAAAUUUAUUUUUAUAUUUUCAUUUUUAUAGGACAGGAAUAUAUAUAUUUUAUUUUUAUGCUACCACAGUGAAUGUACUUAUGGGUUUUAUGCCAUGAGCAUACUCACAUGGGGCUUACUAUUUUUAACAUUUUUAUUUUCCUUUCAAGAUGAUAUGAACCUGAUUAACUAAGAAAACUAUUUUAAAUAGUUGAAAGGAAAAAGGAUAACUACCAAGUUUACCUCUUGGCAAAGCGUUUGGUGUUUUUAAGUCCUCCGAACGGGACUCUCCAUUUUCU